rnacentral:tRNA from 1 species
GCGCGGGUGGCGAAAUGGUAGACGCGCUAGCUUGAGGGGCUAGUGGACAAAAUACCGUCCGUGGAGGUUCAAGUCCUCUCCCGCGCACCA